ensembl:ncRNA F25G6.19 ncRNA
UCCCCGCCAACCGCACCUGUCACUUAUCAUGUCAUCAUGAACAAGAGAAGAAGCUUGGCGACGAUUUGAGAGUGCACAAUUUAUGUGCAUUCUUUGAGAU